rnacentral:rRNA from 1 species
AACGUAGGAGGCGAGCGUUAUCCGGAGUUACUGGGCGUAAAGAGCGUGUAGGCGGGUGUGCAAGUUUGGCGUGAAAGCUCCCGGCUAAACUGGGAGAGUGCGCUGAAGACUGCAUAUCUAGAGGCGAGUAGAGGGACGUGGAAUUCCGGGUGUAGUGGUGAAAUGCGUAGAGAUCCGGAGGAACACCAGUGGCGAAGGCGACGUCCUGGGCUUGACCUGACGCUGAGACGCGACAGCACGGGGAGCGAACGGG